rnacentral:piRNA from 1 species
UGACCGUGCUAACUGUGUGUACAUAU